AUGUUGAUAGUAUAAUAGUACAAUUGCCUUCCAAGCAGAAAGUCCAAUUUUGGCCAACAUA
rnacentral:tRNA from 1 species